rnacentral:rRNA from 1 species
GAAACAAUUGCUAAGACUGGAUAGGAAAAGUAAAGGCAUCUUUGCUUUUUUAAAAGAUCUUCUUUGAAGGUAUGCUUAAGGAGGGGCUUGCGACACAUUAGUUAGUUGGCAGGGUAAAGGCCUACCAAGACUAUGAUGUGUAGCUGGACUGAGAGGUUGAACAGCCACAUUGGGACUGAGACACGGCCCAAACUCCUACGGGAGGCAGCAGUAGGGAAUUUUCGGCAAUGGAGGAAACUCUGACCGAGCAACGCCGCGUGAACGAUGAAGUACCUCGGUAUGUAAAGUUCUUUUAUUAAGGAAGAAAAAAGAGUGGAAAAACUCCCUUGACGGUACUUAAUGAAUAAGCCCCGGCUAAUUAUGUGCCAGCAGCCGCGGUAAUACAUAAGGGGCGAGCGUUAUCCGGAAUUAUUGGGCGUAAAGGGUGCGUAGGCGGUUUAAUAAGUCUAUAGUUUAAUUUCAGUGCUUAACGCUGUUGUGCUAUAGAAACUGUUUUACUAGAGUGAGAUAGAGGCAAGCGGAAUUCCAUGUGUAGCGGUAAAAUGCGUAAAUAUAUGGAGGAACACCAGAGGCGUAGGCGGCUUGCUGGGUCUUUACUGACGCUGAGGCACGAAAGCGUGGGGAGCAAACAGGAUUAGAUACCCUGGUAGUCCACGCCGUAAACGAUGAGUACUAAGUGUCGGGUAAAACUGGUACUGAAGUUAACACAUUAAGUACUCCGCCUGAGUAGUACGUACGCAAGUAUGAAACUUAAAGGAAUUGACGGGACUCCGCACAAGCGGUGGAUCAUGUUGUUUAAUUCGAAGAUACACGAAAAACCUUACCAGGUCUUGACAUUUUCUUGCGAAAUUAUAGAAAUAUAAUGGAGGUUAUCAGGAAAACAGGUGGUGCAUGGUUGUCGUCAGCUCGUGUCGUGAGAUGUUAGGUUAAGUCCUAAAACGAGCGCAACCCUUGUCGUUAAUUGCCAGCAUGUAAUGAUGGGGACUUUAACGAGACUGCCAAUGAAAAAUUGGAGGAAGGUGGGGAUUACGUCAAAUCAUCAUGCCCCUUAUGAUCUGGGCUACAAACGUGAUACAAUGGUUGAUACAAAGAGUAGCUGAAACGCGAGUUCUUAGCCAAUCUCAAAAAAUCAAUCUCAGUUCGGAUUGAAGUCUGCAACUCGACUUCAUGAAGUUGGAAUCGCUAGUAAUCGCGAAUCAGCAUGUCGCGGUGAAUACGUUCUCGGGGUUUGUACACACCGCCCGUCA